rnacentral:rRNA from 1 species
CCUACGGGAGGCAGCAGGGAGGAAUAUUGGUCAAUGGACGAGAGUCUGAACCAGCCAAGUAGCGUGAAGGAUGACUGCCCUAUGGGUUGUAAACUUCUUUUAUAAAGGAAUAAAACGAGGCACGUGUGCCUUUUUGCAUGUACUUUAUGAAUAAGGAUCGGCUAACUCCGUGCCAGCAGCCGCGGUAAUACGGAGGAUCCGAGCGUUAUCCGGAUUGAUUGGGUUUAAAGGGAGCGUAGAUGGGUUGUUAAGUCAGUUGUGAAAGUUUGCGGCUCAACCGUAAAAUUGCAAUUGAUACUGGCAGUCUUGAGUACAGUUGAGGUAGGCGGAAUUCGUUGUGUAGCGGUGAAAUGCUUAGAUAUCACGAAGAACCCCGAUUGCGAAGGCAGCUUACUAAACUGUGACUGACAUUGAUGCUCGAAAGUGUGGGUAUCAAACAGGAUUAGAUACCCUUGUAGUC